rnacentral:rRNA from 1 species
AGAGUUUGAUCCUGGCUCAGGAUGAACGCUAGCGACAGGCCUAACACAUGCAAGUCGAGGGGCAGCACGGGAGUAGCAAUACAACUGGUGGCGACCGGCGCACGGGUGAGUAACACGUAUGCAACCUACCUGUAAGCGGGGGAUAACCCGGAGAAAUUCGGACUAAUACCGCAUAAUACUGUAAACCCGCAUGGGUUAACAGUUAAAUAUUUAUAGUUUACAGAUGGGCAUGCGUAUGAUUAGAUAGUUGGUGAGGUAAGGGCUCACCAAGUCAACGAUCAUUAGGGGUUCUGAGAGGAAGGUCCCCCACAUUGGAACUGAGACACGGUCCAAACUCCUACGGGAGGCAGCAGUGAGGAAUAUUGGUCAAUGGGCGAGAGCCUGAACCAGCCAAGUCGCGUGAAGGAAGAAGGUUCUAUGGAUUGUAAACUUCUUUUGCAGGGGAAUAAAGUUCGCUACGAGUAGCGAUUUGUAAGUACCUUGCGAAUAAGGAUCGGCUAACUCCGUGCCAGCAGCCGCGGUAAUACGGAGGAUCCGAGCGUUAUCCGGAUUUAUUGGGUUUAAAGGGUGCGCAGGCGGGCCUUUAAGUCAGUGGUGAAAGUUUGCAGCUCAACUGUAAAAUUGCCAUUGAAACUGAGGGUCUUGAGUGUAAAUGAGGUAGGCGGAAUGUGUUGUGUAGCGGUGAAAUGCUUAGAUAUAACACAGAACACCAAUUGCGAAGGCAGCUUACUGGGAUACAACUGACGCUCAGGCACGAAAGCGUGGGGAUCAAACAGGAUUAGAUACCCUGGUAGUCCACGCAGUAAACGAUGAAUACUAACUGUAUGCGAUAUACUGUAUGUGGUAAAGCGAAAGCGUUAAGUAUUCCACCUGGGGAGUACGUUCGCAAGAAUGAAACUCAAAGGAAUUGACGGGGGCCCGCACAAGCGGAGGAACAUGUGGUUUAAUUCGAUGAUACGCGAGGAACCUUACCCGGGCUUGAAAUGCAGACGACGGACUUGGAAACAGGUCUUCCAGCAAUGGCGUCUGUGUAGGUGCUGCAUGGUUGUCGUCAGCUCGUGCCGUGAGGUGUCGGCUUAAGUGCCAUAACGAGCGCAACCCCUAUCAUUAGUUACUAACAGGUCGAGCUGAGGACUCUAGUGAGACUGCCGCCGUAAGGUGUGAGGAAGGUGGGGAUGACGUCAAAUCAGCACGGCCCUUACGUCCGGGGCGACACACGUGUUACAAUGGGGGGUACAGAGGGUUGCUACCUGGUGACAGGAUGCUAAUCUCAUAAAUCCUCUCUCAGUUCGGAUCGAAGUCUGCAACUCGACUUCGUGAAGCUGGAUUCGCUAGUAAUCGCGCAUCAGCCAUGGCGCGGUGAAUACGUUCCCGGGCCUUGUACACACCGCCCGUCAAGCCAUGGAAGCUGGGGGGACCUGAAGUACGUAACCGUUAAGGAGCGUCCUAGGGUAAAACUAGUAACUGGGGCUAAGUCGUAACAAGGUA